rnacentral:rRNA from 1 species
GAGCGAACGGGGAGCAGCCCAGAGCCUGAAUCAGUGUGUGUGUUAGUGGAAGCGUCUGGAAAGGCGCGCGAUACAGGGUGACAGCCCCGUACACAAAAAUGCACAUACUGUGAGCUCGAUGAGUAGGGCGGGACACGUGGUAUCCUGUCUGAAUAUGGGGGGACCAUCCUCCAAGGCUAAAUACUCCUGACUGACCGAUAGUGAACCAGUACCGUGAGGGAAAGGCGAAAAGAACCCCGGCGAGGGGAGUGAAAAAGAACCUGAAACCGUGUACGUACAAGCAGUGGGAGCACGCUUAGGCGUGUGACUGCGUACCUUUUGUAUAAUGGGUCAGCGACUUAUAUUCUGUAGCAAGGUUAACCGAAUAGGGGAGCCGAAGGGAAACCGAGUCUUAACUGGGCGUUAAGUUGCAGGGUAUAGACCCGAAACCCGGUGAUCUAGCCAUGGGCAGGUUGAAGGUUGGGUAACACUAACUGGAGGACCGAACCGACUAAUGUUGAAAAAUUAGCGGAUGACUUGUGGCUGGGGGUGAAAGGCCAAUCAAACCGGGAGAUAGCUGGUUCUCCCCGAAAGCUAUUUAGGUAGCGCCUCGUGAAUUCAUCUCCGGGGGUAGAGCACUGUUUCGGCAAGGGGGUCAUCCCGACUUACCAACCCGAUGCAAACUGCGAAUACCGGAGAAUGUUAUCACGGGAGACACACGGCGGGUGCUAACGUCCGUCGUGAAGAGGGAAACAACCCAGACCGCCAGCUAAGGUCCCAAAGUCAUGGUUAAGUGGGAAACGAUGUGGGAAGGCCCAGACAGCCAGGAUGUUGGCUUAGAAGCAGCCAUCAUUUAAAGAAAGCGUAAUAGCUCACUGGUCGAGUCGGCCUGCGCGGAAGAUGUAACGGGGCUAAACCAUGCAC